AUCUCGCAUGUUUUUACAUACAUUUUUCAAACUUUCUAAUUUCAGCAUGUCCACGGACUGUUGGAGACGGUCGCCGUGAGGCAUCCUGUGAGGUAACGCGACAGAUCCCGGGGGAAGCUGGCGGGAGCCCCGGGGAGAGUUCUCUUUUCUUGUAAAGGGAAGGGUGCUCUGGAACGAGUUGGCCCCAAGGGAGGGGCCCAAGCCCUGGAAAGCGUUGCGGUUUCGGCAGCGUCCGGUGAGCUCUCCCUGGCCUUUGAAAAUCCGGGGGAGAGGGUGUAAAUCUCAUGCCGGGCCGUACCCGUAUACGCAUCAGGUCUCAAAGGGGAACAGCCUUGUUAUAACAAUGUAGGACCUUAACCCUAGGACCAUGCCUCAGGACUACCUUGCAUGAUGACUCCUUGCUGUCCCCAGUCCACCUGGCCGUGCUGCUGUUCCAGUUUCAACUGUUCUGCCUGUGGCUAUGGAACCCUGACCUGUUCACCGGACGUGCUACCUGUCCCAGACCUGCUGUUUUAAACUCUCUAGAGACAGCAGGAGUGGUAGAGAUACUCUUAAUGAUCGGCUAUGAAAAGCCAACUGACAUUUACUCCUGAGGUGCUGACUUGUUGCACCCUUGCCAACUACUGUGGUUAUUAUUAUUUGACCAUGCUGGUCAUUUAUGAACAUUUGAACAUCUUGGCCAUGUUCUGUUAUAAUCUCCACCCGGCACAGCUAGAAGAGGACUGGCCACCCCUCAUAGCCUGGUUCUUCUCUAGGUUUCUUCCUAGGUUUGGGCCUUUCUAGGGAGUUUUUUCUAGCCACCGUGCUUCUACACCUGCUUGCUAUUUGGGGUUUUAGGCUGGGUUUCUGUACAGCACUUUGAGAUAUCAGCUGAUGUACGAAGGGCUAUAUAAAUACAUUUGAUUUGAUUUAG